rnacentral:rRNA from 1 species
UGGCGGCCGGCGCACGGGUGAGUAACGCGUAUGCAACUUACCUAUCAGAGGGGGAUAGCCCGGCGAAAGUCGGAUUAAUACCCCAUGAAACAGGGGUCCCGCAUGGGAAUAUUUGUUAAAGAUUCAUCGCUGAUAGAUAGGCAUGCGUUCCAUUAGGCAGUUGGCGGGGUAACGGCCCACCAAACCGACGAUGGAUAGGGGUUCUGAGAGGAAGGUCCCCCACAUUGGUACUGAGACACGGACCAA